UGGGGGAAUUUUGGACAAUGGGCGAAAGCCUGAUCCAGCAAUGCCGCGUGUGUGAAGAAGGCCUUCGGGUUGUAAAGCACUUUUGUCCGGAAAGAAAUCCUUGGCUCUAAUACAGUCGGGGGAUGACGGUACCGGAAGAAUAAGCACCGGCUAACUACGUGCCAGCAGCCGCGGUAAUACGUAGGGUGCAAGCGUUAAUCGGAAUUACUGGGCGUAAAGCGUGCGCAGGCGGUUUGCUAAGACCGAUGUGAAAUCCCCGGGCUCAACCUGGGAACUGCAUUGGUGACUGGCAGGCUAGAGUAUGGCAGAGGGGGGUAGAAUUCCACGUGUAGCAGUGAAAUGCGUAGAGAUGUGGAGGAAUACCGAUGGCGAAGGUAGCCCCCUGGGCCAAUACUGACGCUCAUGCACGAAAGCGUGGGGAGCAAAACAGGAUUAGAUACCCUGGUAGUCCACGCCCUAAACGAUGUCAACUAGUUGUUGGGGAUUCAUUUCCUUAGUAACGUAGCUAACGCGUGAAGUUGACCGCCUGGGGAGUACGGUCGCAAGAUU
rnacentral:rRNA from 1 species